rnacentral:rRNA from 1 species
GACGAACGCUGGCGGCGUGCUUAACACAUGCAAGUCGAACGGAAAGGCCCUGCUUGCAGGGUACUCGAGUGACGAACGGGUGAGUAACACGUGGGUGAUCUGCCCUGCACUUCGGGAUAAGCCUGGGAAACUGGGUCUAAUACCGGAUAGGAGCCAUCUUUAGUGUGAUGGUUGGAAAGUUUUUUCGGUGUAGGAUGAGCUCGCGGCCUAUCAGCUUGUUGGUGGGGUAAUGGCCUACCAAGGCGGCGACGGGUAGCCGGCCUGCGAGGGUGGACGGCCACAUUGGGACUGAGAUACGGCCCAGACUCCUACGGGGGGCAGCAGUGGGGAAUAUUGCACAAUGGGCGCAAGCCUGAUGCAGCGACGCCGCGUGGGGGAUGACGGCCUUCGGGUUGUAAACUCCUUUCGCUAGGGACGAAGCUUUUUGUGACGGUACCUAGAUAAGAAGCACCGGCUAACUACGUG